rnacentral:tRNA from 1 species
GUUACUAUGUCCGAGCGGUUAAGGAGUUAGACUUGAAAUCUAAUGGGCUAUGCCCUCGCAGGUUCAAGUCCUGCUGGUGACG